rnacentral:ncRNA from 2 species
AUUCCAAUCGAACCCGGAGAUAGCUGGUUCUCCCCGAAAUAGCUUUAGGGCUAGCGUUGUAUUAGAUUACCGGAGGUAAAGCACUGAAUAGGCUAGGGGCCGAGAGGUUACUGAACCUUAUCAAACUCUGAAUGCCGGAUAAUUGAUGUACAGCAGUCAGACUACGUGAGAUAAGUCUCGUGGUCAAAAGGGAAAAAGCCCAGACCCACAGCUAAGGUCCCAAAUACACGUUAAGUGGAGAAGGAUGUGGAGUUGCGAAGACAACCAGGAUGUUGGCUUAGAAGCAGCCACUCAUUUAAAGAGUGCGUAAUAGCUCACUGGUCGAGUGACUCUGCGCCGAAAAUGUAACGGGGCUAAACGUGUAACCGAAGCUUGGGAUUCCGCAAGGAAUGGUAGGGGAGCGUCGUAUAUGGGGUGAAGUAUGAGCGUAAGCGCAUGUGGACUAUAUACGAGUGAGAAUGCCGGAAUGAGUAGCGAGAAUUAUGUGAGAAUCAUAAUGGCCGAAAGUCUAAGGUUUCUGGAGGAAGGUUCGUCCGCUCCAGGUUAGCCGGGAGCUAAGGUGAGGCCGAAAGGCGUAGCCGAUGCACAUACGGUAGAGAUUCCGUAGCUGCCGAAAGAUUUAAGCAGGAGGACACUGUAGAAGGGUAUGACCCGGGCGUUGGUUGCCCCGGGCGAAAGGGACCGAAACAUAGUAGGGAAGCAUACUUGGAUACAGGCGAGAAAAGCCCUGUGAAUAUCUCAGGCACCCGUACCGCAAACCGACACAGGUAGACAGGAAGAGGAUUCUAAGGCCAACGGGAGAAGGGUUGUUAAGGAACUCGGCAAGUUGACCCCGUAACUUAGGGAAAAGGGGUGCUCACGAGAGUGAGCCGCAGAGAAUAGGUCCAGGCGACUGUUUAGCAAAAACACAGCUCUAUGCUAAAUCGAAAGAUGACGUAUAUGGGGUGACACCUGCCCGGUGCCGGAAGGUUAAGAGGAGGAGUGAGAGCUCUGAAUUGAAGCCCCGGUAAACGGCGGCCGUAACUAUAACGGUCCUAAGGUAGCGAAAUUCCUUGUCAGGUAAGUUCUGACCCGCACGAAUGGUGUAACGAUCUGGACACUGUCUCAACAGCCCGCCCGGCGAAAUUGUAGUACCGGUGAAGAUGCCGGUUACCCGCGACAAGACGGAAAGACCCCAUGGAGCUUUACUGUAGCUUAAUAUUGGAUUUCGGUAUUUCAUGUACAGGAUAGGUGGGAGGCAGAGAAGCGAAUACGCCAGUAUUCGUGGAGCCGACGUUGGGAUACCACUCUUGAGGUACUGGAAUUCUAACCUGCGGCCGUGAAACCGGUCGGGGGACAUUGUUAGGUGGGCAGUUUGACUGGGGCGGUCGCCUCCAAAAAGGUAACGGAGGCGCUCAAAGGUUCGCUCAGCAUGGACGGAAACCAUGCCUUUGAGUGUAAACGCAAAAGCGAGCCUAACUGCGAGAGGGACGUCUCGAGCAGUAACGAAAGUUGGAGUUAGUGAUCCGGUGGUAUGUGAGUGGAAAUGCCAUCGCUCAACGGAUAAAAGCUACCCUGGGGAUAACAGGCUGAUCUCCCCCAAGAGUCCACAUCGUCGGGGAGGUUUGGCACCUCGAUGUCGGCUCAUCGCAUCCUGGGGCUGAAUUCGGUCCCAAGGGUUUGGCUGUUCGCCAAUUAAAGCGGUACGCGAGCUGGGUUCAGAACGUCGUGAGACAGUUCGGUCCCUAUCUGUCGUGGGCGCAGGAUAUUUGAGAGGAGCUGUCCCUAGUACGAGAGGACCGGGAUGGACGCACCUCUGGUGCACCAGUUGUCUUGCCAAAGGCAUAGCUGGGCAGCUAAGUGCGGAUCGGAUAAACGCUGAAGGCAUCUAAGCGUGAAGCCGGCCUCAAGAUAAGAUAUGCCACUGCAUAAGCAGGUAAGACCCCUUGAAGACUACAAGGUAGAUAGGCCACAUGUGGAAGCGUCGUGAGGCGUGCAGCAAGGUGGUACUAAUCGGUCGAGGGCUUGACCAA